GUUAUUAAUUGUAAUAGACAAAUAUAAAGCCCGUUACAUCUAAAUAACUCUUUAGGGUUAAAGAUAUGUUCCCAGGCCACUUCCCAGCCGCAUUUCUUCCUCACUCCUCUUCUCUUUCUCUCUCCUCAAAUCACUCUCUCUUUCUGCAUUGUUCUUUAAUUAGGACCAAAACCCUACCAUUCUACUUGGAUCUCAAAUUCACCCUUCAAUCUCUCUUUUCAAUCGCAAUCAAAAACCCUAAAAUCAUCCCCAAAUUGUCGUUCAAUUUGCUGUGUUAUGGCCCCUGAUUUGGCUUCCAAAGCGGCGACGGAGGAUGAGACUGAUUUGGGCAUUUUUCAACGACCCGAUUCAUUUGGAAGGUUUGGGAAAUUUUGGGGAAAGUAUGUGCCGAAAACCCUAAUGCAUGCUCUUACUGAACUUGAAUCCGCUUUCCGCGCUCUAUCCAGUGAUGAUGAAUUUUAGAAAGAGCUGGAUGGGAUACUGAGGGACUAUGUGGGGGAGAGAAACUCCUCUCUACUUUGCAGAACGCCUUACUGAGCAUUACAUAAUUAUGCUUUGACAUAGUAUGAAUUGAGUAGAAUGAUUUUGGAGUCUUCGCGGAGAUUCUAUAUCAGAAGUUUGGGGACAGGGUUAAGCGCUGGAUAACACUAAACGAGCCCCAUUCAGUUGCAUCUCAAGGCUAUGACAUAGCCAUAUUCGCUCCAGGGCGAUGCUCCAUCCUCCUCCACUUGUUUUGCAGGGCAGGGAACUCUGCUUCUGAGCCUUAUAUUGUUGCUCAUCACCUGCUUCUUGCUCAUGCUAAUGCAGUCGACAUUUACAGGAGAAAGUACCAGAGAAAACAACGCGGAUCAAUUGGAGCAGCGUUAGAUGUGAUGUGGUAUGAGCCUGAAACCAACACAACAGAAAAUAUUGAAGCAGCUCAAAGAGCGAGCACAAGAUUCUCAACUUGGCUGCUCCAAAUUGUUUACAGUUUAUGGGGUGCCUCUAGGACAAGUUACGGUACAACCAUGUGCUCCUAGUGCACCAGUGCAAGCACCUGGGCCGCCUCUUUUGAAUACCUCAACAUUAAUUUCAGGAGCAACGCCUACUGAUAUUAAUGGUGGUGCUCCAACAGCAUCACAUCCUGGGUUCCAGCGUGCUCCUGUUGGCGGGAGCUUUGGAGGGACAAAUAUGUAUGUCGUCUCUAUCUUUCCUUGGGCUGGUGGAAAUGUUUCUUAUCCGGCAAUAUCAAGUGCUUACGGAUUCACUUAUGGUCAAGCCCGGAACAACAACCUUCAAUCUAACUGCAAUGGUACUUUGUAUUGGUUAGACUGUUUUUUUUUCCUUUUUCACAUGAAGCUUGCUAUUUUCUUAGAUUUUCUGCACUAAGGUGUCUGAGCAGUGUGAGCACAACCCAGAAGUUGAUACUAUUGCCGUUGUUGAUGAGCAUGAAUUUCACUUGAAACCUGAUAAUAAAAGUGAUGUUUUGAAUAGUACCCCACAGAAGGAUAUUCUACUCCGAUUGGAAAAGCUAUGUGAUAAUUAUUUUUUUCCAUUAAAAACAAGAUGUACUAAGGAAGCAGAAGAUUUGAGCAUAUGUGGAAAUGAGACUCCGAGAACUGUUAUUCACGAAAAGCUUGAUGAAACAAAUAAUUGGCAGCAUACUUUUUUCUUGUACUUUUGACCUUAUUGUCUUUAUUUAAGAAGGCUCUAACUUAUUUUCUUAAAUUUUCCUUUAAUCUAUGUAGCUAUGUCGGUUGCUUCAAUCAAGAAGAAUUUUAUUUGAAAUCCAAUUUGGUGUAUAUGUUAUGUUUGAUAAUAUGUUUAUGGCAUGAAAUAUUUGGAUUUGUUAUAAAUUAUUAUAAUAAUUUGGGUGGUAAAUGGAAAGAAGAAU